GGGGGGAUAAGUCGAUUGGAACAUCGCGGCAGAGAGGGUGAGACCCCCGUUCAUGCCUCCUCUUUUAACCUUAACAUGCCUCAUCGACGAGUCGAGUUGCUUGGGAUUGCAGCUCAAAGCGGGUGGUAAAUUCCAUCUAAAGCUAAAUAUUGGUGGGAGACCGAUAGCGAACAAGUACCGUGAGGGAAAGGUGAAAAGCACCCCG
rnacentral:rRNA from 1 species